rnacentral:rRNA from 1 species
AGCGUCUGGAAAGGCGCGCGAUACAGGGUGACAGCCCCGUACACAAAAGCGCAUGUGCUGUGAGCUCGAUGAGUAGGGCGGGACACGUGGUAUCCUGUCUGAAUAUGGGGGGACCAUCCUCCAAGGCUAAAUACUCCUGACUGACCGAUAGUGAACCAGUACCGUGAGGGAAAGGCGAAAAGAACCCCGGCGAGGGGAGUGAAAAAGAACCUGAAACCGUGUACGUACAAGCAGUGGGAGCACCCUUUUGGGUGUGACUGCGUACCUUUUGUAUAAUGGGUCAGCGACUUAUAUUCUGUAGCAAGGUUAACCGUAUAGGGGAGCCGGAGGGAAACCGAGUCUUAACCGGGCGUUAAGUUGCAGGGUAUAGACCCGAAACCCGGUGAUCUAGCCAUGGGCAGGUUGAAGGUUGGGUAACACUAACUGGAGGACCGAACCGACUAAUGUUGAAAAAUUAGCGGAUGACCUGUGGCUGGGGGUGAAAGGCCAAUCAAACCGGGAGAUAGCUGGUUCUCCCCGAAAGCUAUUUAGGUAGCGCCUCGUGAAUUCAUCUCCGGGGGUAGAGCACUGUUUCGGCUAGGGGGCCAUCCCGGCUUACCAACCCGAUGCAAACUGCGAAUACCGGAGAAUGUUAUCACGGGAGACACACGGCGGGUGCUAACGUCCGUCGUGAAGAGGGAAACAACCCAGACCGCCAGCUAAGGUCCCAAAGUCAUGGUUAAGUGGGAAACGAUGUGGGAAGGCCCAGACAGCCAGGAUGUUGGCUUAGAAGCAGCCAUCAUUUAAAGAAAGCGUAAUAGCUCACUGGUCGAGUCGGCCUGCGCGGAAGAUGUAACGGGGCUAAACCAU